rnacentral:rRNA from 1 species
AGAGUUUGAUCCUGGCUCAGAUUGAACGCUGGCGGCAUGCCUUACACAUGCAAGUCGAACGGUAACAGGUUAAGCUGACGAGUGGCGAACGGGUGAGUAAUAUAUCGGAACGUGCCCAGUCGUGGGGGAUAACUACUCGAAAGAGUAGCUAAUACCGCAUACGACCUGAGGGUGAAAGCGGGGGAUCGUAAGACCUCGCGCGAUUGGAGCGGCCGAUAUCAGAUUAGGUAGUUGGUGGGGUAAAAGCCCACCAAGCCAACGAUCUGUAGCUGGUCUGAGAGGACGACCAGCCACACUGGGACUGAGACACGGCCCAGACUCCUACGGGAGGCAGCAGUGGGGAAUUUUGGACAAUGGGCGCAAGCCUGAUCCAGCCAUGCCGCGUGCGGGAAGAAGGCCUUCGGGUUGUAAACCGCUUUUGUCAGGGAAGAAAAGGUUCUGGUUAAUACCUGGGACUCAUGACGGUACCUGAAGAAUAAGCACCGGCUAACUACGUGCCAGCAGCCGCGGUAAUAC